rnacentral:rRNA from 1 species
GACGAACGCUGGCGGCGUGCUUAACACAUGCAAGUCGAACGGAAAGGCCCUGCUUUUGUGGGGUGCUCGAGUGGCGAACGGGUGAGUAACACGUGAGUAACCUGCCCUUGACUUUGGGAUAACUUCAGGAAACUGGGGCUAAUACCGGAUAGGAGCUCCUGCUGCAUGGUGGGGGUUGGAAAGUUUCGGCGGUUGGGGAUGGACUCGUGGCUUAUCAGCUUGUUGGUGGGGUAGUGGCUUACCAAGGCUUUGACGGGUAGCCGGCCUGAGAGGGUGACCGGCCACAUUGGGACUGAGAUACGGCCCAGACUCCUACGGGAGGCAGCAGUGGGGAAUAUUGCACAAUGGGCGGAAGCCUGAUGCAGCAACGCCGCGUGCGGGAUGACGGCCUUCGGGUUGUAAACCGCUUUCGCCUGUGACGAAGCGUGAGUGACGGUAAUGGGUAAAGAAGCACCGGCUAACUACGUGCCAGCAGCCGCGGUGAUACGUAGGGUGCGAGCGUUGUCCGGAUUUAUUGGGCGUAAAGGGCUCGUAGGUGGUUGAUCGCGUCGGAAGUGUAAUCUUGGGGCUUAACCCUGAGCGUGCUUUCGAUACGGGUUGACUUGAGGAAGGUAGGGGAGAAUGGAAUUCCUGGUGGAGCGGUGGAAUGCGCAGAUAUCAGGAGGAACACCAGUGGCGAAGGCGGUUCUCUGGGCCUUUCCUGACGCUGAGGAGCGAAAGCGUGGGGAGCGAACAGGCUUAGAUACCCUGGUAGUCCACGCUGUAAACGGUGGGUACUAGGUGUGGGGUCCAUUCCACGGGUUCCGUGCCGUAGCUAACGCUUUAAGUACCCCGCCUGGGGAGUACGGCCGCAAGGCUAAAACUCAAAGGAAUUGGCGGGGCCCCGCACAAGCGGCGGAGCAUGCGGAUUAAUUCGAUGCAACGCGUAGAACCUUACCUGGGUUUGACAUGGAUCGGGAGCGCUCAGAGAUGGGUGUGCCUCUUUUGGGGUCGGUUCACAGGUGGUGCAUGGCUGUCGUCAGCUCGUGUCGUGAGAUGUUGGGUUAAGUCCCGCAACGAGCGCAACCCUUGUUCACUGUUGCCAGCACGUUAUGGUGGGGACUCAGUGGAGACCGCCGGGGUCAACUCGGAGGAAGGUGGGGAUGACGUCAAGUCAUCAUGCCCCUUAUGUCCAGGGCUUCACGCAUGCUACAAUGGCUGGUACAGAGAGUGGCGAGCCUGUGAGGGUGAGCGAAUCUCGGAAAGCCGGUCUCAGUUCGGAUUGGGGUCUGCAACUCGACCUCAUGAAGUCGGAGUCGCUAGUAAUCGCAGAUCAGCAACGCUGCGGUGAAUACGUUCCCGGG